AUUGCACGCUGGCGACAGGCAUAACACAUGCAAGUCGAGCGGGGUUUUCGGACCUAGCGGCGGACGGGUGCGCAACGCGUAGGAAGCUACCAGACAGCGGGGGAUACGAGGUGGAAACGACUGUUAAUACCGCAUAAUGUCUACGCACCAAUGUGUGGGCUCUACGGGACAUAUGAUAUCGAACGCGCCCACGGGGGAUUAGCUAGUUGGUGGGGUAAUGGCUCACCAAGGCGACGGUCCCUAGCUGGUUUGAGAGGAUGAUCAGCCACACUGGAACUGAGACACGGUCCAGACUCCUACGGGAGGCAGCAGUGGGGAAUAUUGGACAAUGGGCGCAAGCCUGAUCCAUCCAUGCCGCGUGUGUGAAGAAGGCCUUCGGGUUGUAAAGCACUUUCAGUAGGGAGGAAGGGUGUUGUGCUAAUAGCACAGCAUUUUGACGUUACCUACAGAAGAAGCACCGGCUAACUCUGUGCCAGCAGCCGCCGUAAGAC
rnacentral:rRNA from 1 species